UUCACUCAGACAACAUGUAAGGAACAUCUGCUAAACACCAGUGUGGAUGUGAGGGCAUUCCAAACCAGUGCUUUUUCAUCCUAGCCACACAUUGGAAUUACCUAUAGAAUCUGAAAAAUGGUGAUGCUCAGGUUUCACCCCAGAAAAAUUACAUAAAAAAACAUUUCUGGGUCUGGGAGGCAGGCCUGGGUAUUUAAGUUCCCAGGUGAUUCCACUGUGUAUCCAGGAUAGAAAGUCACUGGACUAAAUGAGCCCGAGGCUCCUUCCUGUAACACUGCCACUCAUUGCUCUUUUCUGGUCAUGGCUACCCUUGCCUUCUGAGUGACGUGACUGAAAAUAUGACCUGCGGUCACUGAGAUACAGCCAGCACUCUAUGGCCAGUUUACACGAAUGCUUAUUGAGCAGCUAUCACGUGCCUGGCAUUAGAGAGACACAGAGGUGAGGUUAACAGUAUCCCCUGGAAGUAAAUUAGUAUAAGCACUGCAUUUCCUUGAAUGUUUAUUUGGUGAGCCAGAGCCAGAUUUUCUGAUGAAUGGGAUUUUAUGUGAUUUAUCCUGUCUUGUCCCUCGGUGGAAGAGAAACAGUGACUAUAUCUGGUGCAUUUCAGUUAAAUGGAGUUAAAGCAGGUGGUGAAAAUGACAUAAACAGAAAUAGAUGGAAGGCAGGCAAAUAGGGAAGGAUGGUAAAGGCACAAAAUGUGUUCAUUAGGCAAGUUUUCACAAAUGUGCAAUCAGGUUGUCUAAAUCAUGAAAAAGUAAAAGUAACUAAUAUGCCUGUUUAAUAUUUGGAUUAUCAGCAAGGAUUUGAGCCCCUGUGAACUACCUGUCCUACCCUUGGCAUAGUGGACACGACCCAGAGAGCAUGCAAUAUAGCUUGGGAAUCUAAAUUGAUAUAAAAACUAGAGAUUUUAAAGUACUCACUUGUGACUAAAGCCAUUAAGGAGCUUGGAGAAAGGAGGUGCCAGACAGGUGCUACCUGAGGUGCAGUCCAUGGCCCAGCUCUGUCAACUGUUUGUUAUACAGUCAGUAAUGAGAAGUAAAGAAAUUGAAAGGAAGCAUUUAUAAACUUUUAUAGCAAUUUCCCAGAGUAAUUUUGUCUGAAUCUAAAACAUUUUUAAAGGGACUUAUAUUUUGUUUUUAAAAUUACAAUGGAACAUUACUCAGCAACAUAAAGGAAUUAAUGAUACAUAUCGGAAUGAUAAAUCUAAAAAUAUAGUAUGUGAGGGGCACCUGGGUGGCUUGGUCAGUAAAGCAUCCAGCUCUCCAUUUGAGCUCAGGUUAUGAUCUCACAGUUUUGUGAGUUCAAACCCCACAUCGGGCUCUACACUGACAGCACAGAGCAUGCUUGGGAUUCUCUCCCUCCCUCUCUCUCUGCCCUUUCUCCAUUCACACUGUGUCUGUCUCUUUCAAAAUAAAUAAAUAAAUUUUAAAAAUAAAAAAUAAUAAAAUAAAAUUAUGUUUCUCUAGUAAUUCAUUUUUAUUGUAUCUUAUGAAAGUACCAGUCUCUGACAGAUUGGAAUAAGAAAUGAAAGAAAAAACAAAAACCAAACUAGUUCUUUACUGAAGAAGAUUUAAAAAGCCCUGGUUGGGGUAGCUGGACAUCUGAGAUGUCAUGGCAAACUAGAGAAGUACCAGCAAGUGGGAGAAGGGUAGAAGUUCUAUCUGAUGUUACAAAGGGAGUAAGAGUGUGUCCUGAAAACUAGACCUUACUCAUGCAGAAGACUCUCAGACCAUGAAUGUUUUAAGUUAUUGGUAGCUGCUGGAGCUUUAUAUGUGCUUUGUAUGAAUUAUUUUAUUGCCUCCUCUCAUAAUCCUAUGUGAUAAUAGUGCUCUUCUCUGUCUCUGUUUUGUGGAGGGCUGAAGAAGGAAAAUAAUAUGCUCAGGCCACCGCUGCUGGUGAGUGAUAGGACUGCAUUUUAAAGAAAGGUGUGUUGGACUCUGGAGCCUGAUGAUUCAUGACUCCCCACCCCCACUCCACAUAGCCCCUCCACAUGCCAAGGAGCAUGGAUCACAGACUCUGCCCAUCCAGAUGUCCCAAGAAUAGGAAUGAGAAGGCCCUGCAGAUUCCAAUCUCAGAGGUCAGGGUUGUCCUUCCAGAAGGAUGCCCUACCUCCUAGGGAGGGCAAGGUGUGGACCUUUAUCUGACAGUCUUCUCUCUUCUCCUUGGUGCUCAUUUCCAGAGGUAUUUCAGUAGAUGGAUCCACCCUGGUUUGGGCCUUUUAUUAGUCUUUGAACUGUCCCAUUAGCAGCUUUUGCCAGUGGGAGCUCAUCCAUCCACUUAUUUCUAAACUUUUAAUUUUGAAAUAGAGAUUCAUAGGAGAGUGCAAAGAAACAUACAGGGAACUCCUGUGCACCCUUUGCCCAGCAUCUCCCACUAUUAGUACAGUAUCAAACCCAGGAAAUUGACGUUGGUGUAAUCUACAGACUCACUCAUCCACUUUUUUCUAUUAAUUUCUUUAAAAGACUUUUUUUUAGAGCAGUUUUAGAUUGACUAAAAAAUGGAGAGAAGGAUACAGAGAUUUCCCUUUUAUACCCAGCCCCGCUCCCCCAUAUACAAUACACAGCCUCCCCCGUUGUCAGCAUCCCCGACCAGAGUGGUAGAUUUGUGAUAAUUGAUGAACCUGCAUUGACGUGUCAUAAUCACCCAAAGUCCAUAGUUUACAUUAGGGUUCACUGUUGUAUAUUCCAUGGGUUGGACAAAGGUAUGAUAUGUAUCCAUCAUUAUGGUAUUAUACACAGUAGUUUCACUGCCCUAAAAAUCCCCUGUGUUCUGCCUUUUUAUCCCUCCCUCCUGCUAACACCUGGUAACUAGUGAUCUUUUUAUUGUCUCCAUGGUUUAACCUUUUCCAGAAUGUCACAUAGUUGGAAUCAUACAGUAUGUAGUCUUUUCAGGUUGACUUCUUUCACUUAGCAAUACGCUUUUAGGAUUCCUCCAUAUAUUUUCAUGGCUUAACAGCUCAUUUCUUUUUAGCACUGAAUAAUAUUCCAUUGUCUGGAUAAAUUUGUUUAUCUGCUCACCAACUAAAAGAUUGGUUGCUUACAAGUUUUGGCAAUUUUGAAUAAAGCUAUAAACAUUCAUGUGCAAGUUUUUGGGGAGACAUAGGUUUUAGCUCCUUUGGGUAAACACCAAGGAGCACAAUGCUCCCAUCUAUAUUUUCUCCCACAUUCUGGGUACCAAGCUUGAAGAGAGGCAUCAACAAGCCAUAGUGUAUCUGGAGGAGCGAGAGGGUGAGUAGUCUGGAAGCCAGGUCACAUCCAGAGUUCUUAGGGACAAGUGUGACCAUCUUGUAUGAAGAUGCCAUAUGUUAUUUAGUUCUCCUGUCUUAGCACCUAAACUAUGUGAGGCACAUAGUUGACCUUCAACAGAUGUUUUUUGAAUUGACUGUUGAUUUAGAGCAGAAAAUGUGCAUAUAAACAUAAUAGCUGUCUUCCAUAUUGCUGGGCCUCCAAUGUGGAAGAAAAGCAAGAUUGAUCUAUGUCCCAUUGCUAUUUGCAUUGCUCUUGAGGACAGAACUAGAAUUAGUGGAUGGGAUGAAGACAUAAGGGGAAACAUCCCAGCUGGAUUUAUGGAAGAACUUGACCGAGAAUGGGAAUAAUGCAGCAGGGAAGUAGUCAGCUCCUCUAUACUAGAAGACCAUCAUGAUGCAGUAGAAAUGAUUCAUAUGUGUGUGUGUGUGUGUGUGUGUGUGUGUGUGUGUGUGUGUGUGUGUGUAUUUGACAUUGGGAAUAAUGGCUUUAAUGGAAGUCCUUCCAGUUUCUUGAUUCUGAAAACAUGCAGGCAUGGAUAGAAAUAGGACAGUUGGGUGGGAAGAUCAGUUUAUGGGUAGGGGGUAUUCAUAGAGUUCGAAGUCACAGCAAAAGAUUUUUGUGGAAGAACACCUGCAGAUUUUGAAAAGAUUGUUUUUGCUUUUUAAGAGGAAAGUCGUAGGUAGUCAGAUGUAAGACUCUCUCAGCUUCUCUGUGUAACCUGUGGAAUUUGUCCAGAGCAACAUCUGGACUUAACCUGGCAAUCAGACACUCAUCUUUUCUUCCGGGCAGAAUUUGGCAACAUCAGUCCUAGAGAAAAUCAUGGGACUGGAUUCUGACUACAGCUGACAUGUUUUUGUCAUGUUAAUCACUUAGAUUGGAAUUAAGGAGAAGAUUAUUGCAAUUUCUAUUCCAGGAAAUGAAGCAGGAAUGAAGCAGGCACUGAGUUAAUCAGAUAGCUUCCAGGUGAAAAAGAAAAAAAAAAAAAAUAGGUCAAGGUUCUUAAAUUGGGCCAUCUUAGGUUAUUAUCUGUUCAUAUAUGAUUAUCCUGUAAGGUAUGAAUUUAGAUGAUUUAUGUUUUUAUUUUAUUCUAGCUGCCAAGGAAGAUGCAAACUGUUUGUAGCAUAUAUUUUAAAAAACAAAAAGAAAACUUAUUUUUUUUAAUGUAUGGAGUAGGGAAAGGAAGUAAUAUUUAUUGCUCACUACAUACAGGAACUUUACAUAUAUUAUUUCAUUAAUUUUCACAAUGAUUCUGAUGCACAGGUAUUAUCAUUGCUAUUUUAUGGUCAAGGAAACUGAAGCUCAUCAGAGCAGAGUAACUUGUUCUGGGAUGCAUACCAAAUGAAAAAGAGAGAUGGAAUUCAAAGCCAAAUCUACUGGACUCUAAAGUUACUGCUCUUUAUGCUGUUUGGUACUCACAAUAUACCAUCUCUAGCAGAACCGAAACCUAUCAUAUUCAUGGAUAGAUUUCAGAACUAUAUCUUGUAUGUUUCAAACCCACAGGUGUCAGUUCUCCAUCUGCAGAAAAGCCCGCCCAGAUGACACGUUUCUACCAUUGCUGAUGACUUUUCUAUAAUAGAGUCAGACUGAGGCAUUCUGACCAUUGGCACAUUCAGUAGCUAAUUGUCCCUGGUCCUGGCUCCUACCCAUGCCUGCUUUCUUCUCUCAGUGCCUCUGAAUGUAUGGUCCUGAAGGUGUGAACACUAUCCAUGGGCUGGGGUACAGUUUCCAGCUUGCCUGCAGCCCAGUGUCUAAUAAUCCUAGACUAACUUUUUUUUAGGCCUUAGGAUUGUGUUCUCAUUGUCAUAAGCAGGCUUAGAGGGGAGCCAGGAGACCUCAUGGUACAGGUGUCAGAGCACGGUGCCUGAAUGUGCUUUGUUCUUGCUGUGGACUUACCAUUGCUGGGGCUGUAAGGAAUCCCUCAGCUGUCUGAGUCUCAGUUCUUUCACAAGCAAAAAGGGGAUUGUAAUAACUCCUCUCUCUUUAGGAUGAGCGAGAGACUCAUAUUUGUAUCUAGGAAACUUUGUAAACCAUAGGCAUUGUACAAAUAUAAGUUCAGUGAGUGAAAGAGAACGACCCCAUCUCCUGGAAAAGCUUUCCUCCAUAAGGGGUGGAAGCCAGUGCACACAUCUAGGUAGGAAACCACGAGCUCCUUCUGGCUGGCCAGGCUCUGUUUCACUGGAGCAGGUUUGGUCUCUGUGCACAAUGCCACCCCCCCCCCCCCGCCACCCCCCCGUUUCUCCUGAAUAGCAUGGCUGUGUUUCUUGGCCUGGAUUACUGAGAUAAUUGCUCACAAUCUUCCCUUUCCAGUGAGCACGAGCCUGUUAGACCCGAACGAUAGCCACUGGCUGAAGCCUUCCGAAGACUGAUUGGAUAGACUGUGUUUGGCUCAGUUGAGUUUGCUUGCUGGCUAUGUAAAUAUUAGGGUUGUUAAUCUUUAUUAGAGGGUGUUAGCCAAGAAAAAUUGCAUUUUUAAAAACCCAUAUAUUAACAUGGGAAAAAGUAAAAGUAAACCAAGCAAAAUUGAACAAUUUUGAUGUCCUAGAAGCUUCCAGUGAAGGCUAAAAGGCCUUUAGUGUGUAUUUAUUCAGUAAAUAAGGCUGUGGCUUCCAAUUCUUUUUGAGAGUGGGGCAUAGAUGUUAAAUUAAAAAGCAAAUUUUCAUUUUAGAACAGAAAAAUCUGAACAAUUAGAAAGUCUUAAUCUUGCUGUCAUUUAAUAGGUUUGGAUUUGCAAGUCAGUUUUCAUGGAUUUUUUCCCCCACAAAGACUUUCUGUCUUAAAUCUAAUUUGCAUUUAUAUUUUCAUAUUGUAAACUUUUUACUGAAGUAUAACAUACAUACAGAAAAGUACAUAAAUCCUAAGCUCAGUGAGUUUUUACCUAGUGAACACACUUGAAUAAGUAGUGUACAGAUCAAGAAAUAGAACAUGAUUCCAGAACACUGGCCCCCCAGUGUCCCCUUCCAUUUACCAGGCCCUCCCAUCAAGGGCAAUCUCUAGGGUGACUUCCAGCAUCUUAAGAUUAGUUUGCCUGUUUUGAAACUUUAUAGAAAUGGAAUCUUCAUGUAUGUAUUAUUUUGUCAAGUAUAUACUGUCUUCUUUUUUCCAACAUUACCUGUGUGAGAUUAAUCCAUGUUGACUGUAACAAAUAUAUGUCACUUUCAUUGCUAUGUAAUAGUGUACUGAUUUUAUGCUGCUAUUUAUUUAUUCAUUCAUUUUACUGUAUAAGGUAUUUGAGUGUUUGAGUUGUUUCCAGUUUGGGGCUAUUAUGAAUAAAGCUGCUCUGUGUAGAUCUGUUGAUGACUACUUGCAUCCAGUAUUGUAGAGUAUAUAUCUAAGAGGGUAAUUAGCAAACACUAGGGUAAGAGUAUGUUUAGCUUUCAUUAAAUACUGCCAAAUAGUUUUCCAAAGUAGUUGUAACAAUUUAUAUCUCCACUAGCAAGGAGGAUACUUCCAGUUGCUCCACAUUUUUGCUAAUAGUUGGUAUUAUUUGUCUUUUCCAUUUCAGCUCUUCUGGUAGGUAUGUGGUGAUGCCACUUUAUGGGUGGGUUUUGUUUUGUAUUUGUAUUUCUUGGAUGGUGAAUGAAGUCAAGAACAUUUUCAUAUGUUUAUUGACCAUUUGGAUGUCUGUCCUUUUGUAAAGUGAACCUUUAGUUGUUCUGCCUUAUCUUUGCUAUUAAAUUAUCUGCAUUUUUCUUAUUAACUUGUAGGAGUUCUUUAUAUAUUCUGGAUAUGAAUCCUUUGAAUAUGUAUAUUGUUAAUAUCUCCUUCCAGUCUAUGGCUUGCCUCUUCAUGCUCUUCAUGGUGUAUUUUGUUGUGUAUUAAUGGUAUAUUAAUACUUUUAAUGUAUUCCAGUCUAUAAAAUAUUUUCUUUUAUGUAAACUUAGUGCUUUAUUUUGGUGACCUGUUUAAGAAAUCUUUGUCUACUCUAAAUUUUGUACUGAAAAAACUUUGCUGUUUUACUUUUCACAUUUAGAUUGAUAAUCCAUUUGAAAGUGCUUUUCCUGUACGGUGAGGGAAAGACCCUUUUCUUUUUCCUUCCUGUUUUGCCAUCUAGUUGGCUUAGAGUCAUUUGUUUAAAAGACCAUCCUACCCCCACAGCACUGUAGUGUCACCCUGUCAUAAACCAAGUGACCAUAUAUGUGUGAGUGUAUUUUCAAGCAUUAAAAUUUGGAGGUUCUGCCAAGAAAUUGGUACUACCUUGAGUUUGAUUGCAUUAAGUAGCUAGCUCAACCCUUGACACAGGCCUGGAUGACUAAGAGAGGCCAGGGCAGAUCAGGGCUCCAGAAAUUUUCCAGAUAUAAAACCCACUGACUCAGACUGUAUUUAGAUAUGCUGCUCCAAAUAAAAUAACUCUAACAGAAUACUGUCCUCUCUAUUGGACAGUAUUAGAAGAUGGAUAUGCCAUAAGAAAUGGAGUUUAAAGGAAUGUAAUACCUACUUUCAAAUUAUGUAUAAAUUCUCACAAGAUUGAACUGAAAACAAUCAUUAUUUUAUCUAAUGCUAGUUCUCAUAAUAAGGGAAUGCUUUCUUUGAAAACAGGCUUAGCUGGUGGCUAUUCUUGGGGUUCAUCACAUCUGCCUGGUCUUAGUGUUCAGGAAUUAGACCCCCAGACCCUUUAAUUGCUUACUUAAUUUAAUGACUCUGUGGAGGGCCUUUGGUUUGUGUCUGACUACUUCCAGCAACCUGAAAUCUUUUAGGUUUUCUAAGAUGUUAAGGCAGCUGGGUAAGGGGUAUUUCUUCAGAUAGAUGAGUACCCCUUUUCCAACUUAGACUGUGGAAGACAUUGGCUCUGUGAUAGAUCCCCAGCCCACAGCUCCUUUCCAUCAGUGGUACCCAGGGUGGUUGAUGAAGUUCAUUUCUCCUUCCAGGGGACAUGAACCUAGUCCAGGCACCUUUAAGCUUAGAUAGCUACCCCUCAUUCAUUCCCAUUUCCCUCUCCUUCAGCUUACCUGGCAGUCUGAGCUGCCAUGAAUGGGAAAUAUUGUUCAGUGAACAAUGAAGCAGUAGCUUCUUUUGUAAGUUUCCAUUUGGUCAACAUGUACAGUUGAGCAUCUUCUGUAUACUAGCACUGAAGAUCUUUUCCCAGCCCUUGAGGACUUAGUUUAUUUCCCACUGUGUUAAGUGACAGUCUCUGUUAAAUUUGGGGCCUGACAAAACCUUUCUGAUGCUUGAUUGCUUAACCUCACCUCUCAUCCAUCUCUCCCUGCCAUGGCCAGAUUUAGCUGAGUAUAUGGAUGAAUCUCAUCUGUCUGUCCCUAUAUUGUACACCCCUCUUUAUCUCCAUUGUUACUUGAACUAAUCUAGGGCCUGUUAACUAGGAUGACUUCAACCUGGAGAGCAGUUUUUGCAUAGUAACAUCCAAACUGGCCACCUGCUGAAGCCCUGGUUGCCUCACCCAAGUUCUUAAGUAUCUUGAGAUGCUGUUCUGAUGCUCCAGGGUCUGCCACUUAGCUGUGCCUUUGUCAAGAGACAAUGGAUCUUUUUUCACAUAAUGCCAUCCAUAUGUUGGGAUCUUGGCUUCCUUCUGUGCCUAAUGGCAAAAGGUCUAGCAGUGACAUGGAGUUAGGACUGUUGUAUAAUGUCCCGUAAUUGUCAUGUCUUGUUUCAAUCAGCAGACAACCCAGUUACCAGUAGUCUUUGCCACUCCAGAUGUUGUAUAGCUUUGAUGUCAUCCACCCACUUUCUCUGUGUGUGAACACAGAAUGGCUGGAGAUUUUAUUUUAGGCUCUUUAACUCUGUCCUUUAAACUGGGCAUUAAAAAAGGAGUCUUCUGUUUGUUUAAAUAAAUUUUUUUUUUACUAAUCUUUACACAUUAAAAAACCAUUGUAUAUAAUAGAAUAACAGACUUUUAGAACCCAGAGAUAUUAGAUAUCAUUAGUUCAAUCUUCUCACGACUAAAUAAUAUUGUAAGAUUUCUUUCCCUGGAGAUAUUUUUAAAUGUCUUUUACAAUCACAGGAAGUCAGAGCUGGAAGAGAACUGAGAACUGUGUGAGGCCAGCAAGCUCAUUCUAUGGAUGAGGAGCCUGAGACUCUGAGGACACAAGUGACUGGAUCACAGUGCUAUGAUAAUAUCCCGGGUCUCCAGACUCCGCAAUCUAGGCGUCCUUGCUUGUGUAGACAAAGCUGUUUCUUACUUUCAUUUUUGCUUCAUUAUUGUUACCUAGGGACAGCCAGGAAUUUCUCAUAGAAUAUGUGGAUGUGCUUGUCAUGAGACAUUAAUCUGUGCCAGAAUUUAAGGUAACAUAGAAAUAGCCAAAAUGUACUUUGGGCAAGAGCCACGAAUCCCAAUGGGAGUGGGCUGGGAUAAGUAGUUAUGUUAAUAAAACCUUUCCACAUCAAAAGUAUGAGUCAGAUUCAAUAUAUGAAUAUCAUCAAGAAGUUACACAUAGAGGGAGUUAAUUUUAGUACAAAUAGAUCACCUGUUUGCAUCUCUCUUCAGAAAUAAAGGGGGUGGAAGUUGUUAUGUCUUUCAAAUUAGAUUGAUUGCUAAAAAAGGGAAAACAAUCUGGAGGAUGGUUAUUUUCCUUUGGACUCCUGUCCUGUGUACCAUCUAUUUCUAGCAAAGCUCGAAUUUCCAGUUUAAUAGCAGGUGGAAGUGGAGAGUGUGCCUUUUCUCCCCUAGUGCCUUAGCUGCAUUCAGGAAAUUCCCAUGCCUGCCCCUUUCCCCUGCAACCACCCUCCACAGCUCUUUCCUGACGCCUGUUGCUCUGGGCUAGUCUACAGCCUGCAAGGAUGGCGGUGGUAUGGGGCCAGUGGAAGCUUCCCGUGAUGGUAUACAAAGCUUUUCUUAAGGAGAAGGGAAGCCAAAGGAGUCAACCAUCCUCCUGAUCCUUGGAUCUCCCUUCUUCUGCUUGUAUUUCUCCAGGAAGGCCUAAGGCAGAUGGAUCAGAGAUGUACCUUGUGGACCUAAGAAAUUAUUCUGCCCACCAUAUUCUGGUUUGCUCGUGCCCCCUCCAUGUCACCUCCACUUCUCCCUCUGCUCCUUAAGGUGUUAAGCAGGGGAGUUUGUGGGUGAAUGAGGAGGACAGAGAAUAUGGGGUGUGUUACAGCCUCCCCUAGGCUUUGUUUCUGGUGACAGGAAGGGCCCUGAUAGUGGGAGCCUUAUGGGGAAGACAGUCCACCUUCUUGGGAAGAUCCCAAUGUAAUCGCAGACAAUAAUCACCUAUAUGGUGUCCUCUGCUGCAAAAUAGUACCUGAGCUCAGGUCACUUUGUUACCUCAUAAAUGCUAGCACCAGUCCUAGGGAAGUGCAACAGUGGGAAGAAACAGGAUCUGAGCUGAGAUGGUGAUUCUGUCCUCUCUGGACAGACCAUUGUACAUAAGAGGUGUUCGUGUGUUGAUUUGCAAAGCACUCCUGAGCUUCUCUUCAGGGAUUUUGUCUGAAGGGGAUCUCCAUUCCUGGAAUUCACUGAAAGCUCUGCCUGACAUGCCCUCUGCAACUCAUCAUGUUAAUGGGAAGGGAGGGCUGGAGGCCAGCCAGGUGCCCUGCCCCCAGCCAUGUCAGGAUGGCUGUAUUGAUUGCAGAGUCUGACGGAAGGUUACUGCAAUGGAUGGGGAUUCACUGCUAGUGGAGGAAUAAAGCUCUGGCCCUGGAGCCUGUCUUCUUAACUGGGCUCCCAGCCAGGGCUUUCUUGCCAACUUUCUACUCCUCCCAGUCCAUCAUCCACACCCAGCUAGAUCUGGCUUCCCUGAACACCACUUAGUCAAACUUCCCAAUUGCUUCGAAACCAUUAAUGGGUCCUCUUGGCCUGGACUGAAGGCCCUAUAGGAUCAGGUACAUAUCCACCCACAGUAAUCUUCACAACCGUGUCAUUGAUCCAGCCUACUCUCUGCAGCAAAGCCCAUUGUGUAGUCAGAUGUGUUCUGUUCACAGUCCCCAGAAGACUCCAGGGUUAUUUGUAUCUUCGUGCCUUUCCCCAGGUUGUCCCGUGUCAUUUGCUGCUCCAUCUGUGUCAUCUACUCUAUCCUUCAGUAUUUUAUUCUUUCACUUUCUCGGGUCAUCUAGCUAUGCAGUAGCUCACUUCUCUUACGUGCACUAAGCCCUUUGAGGGCAGGAACGCCUUAGCCCCCAGCGCAAUACUGAAUGUGAGGUGAGCACACAUUGCUUCUUGGGUGAAUGGGGAGAGAUGAAAUAAUGAACCCUCCUGGGCAACUUACUAUUAUUUCCUUCUUGACCUGGUGUCCAGGCACCCAUUUUAAAGUGAGGUCUUUAAUGGGGUAGGGGGAAUGGAGGCAGAUGCCUCAGACUGGUUUUCAAUAAAGUGGUCAAGAGUAGGAUUUAAAUGAAACAGGUACUAAAGGUAAAACCCAAAAAACUCCAAAGAAAACAAGAAAUUGGAUUUAACACAUCUUAAAGAUGAAAGAUAGGUUAAUGGGGGUUGAAUAAGUGUCCUCUGAAAGUUCAUGUCUAUCUGAAACCUCAGAAUAUGACCUUAUUUGGAAAUAGAGUCCUUGCAGAUGUGGUUAGUUAAGGUAGGGUGGGGUCAUACUGGAUUAGGGUGGACUCUAAAUCCAAUGGAUGAUGUUCUUAUAAGAAGAGCAGAGGACACAUAUAGAAGAGGGUCAUGUGAAGGUGGAGACAGAGAUGAGUGAUGUAGCUUCAAGCCCAGGAAUGCCAGGGAUUGUCAGGACCUACUAGAGACUAACAGCAGGCAAUGAAGGAUCUUCCCUAGAGCCUUAGGUGGGAAGGCUGACAUUGCACUGCUGACACCUUGAUUUUGGACUUCUGGCUUGAACUGUGGGAGAAUACAUUUCUGUCAUUUUAAGCCACCUAGUUUGUGGUAAUUUGUUGUGGCAGCCCUAGUAAACCAACACAGUGGGGUCAGGUCAUGACCAGUGCCACCCCUAUGAGGUGCAGGAAGGAGAGAUCACACCAGGUGGAGUCUGUUGGUUGCUUCCAUUUUUAUGCAGAAGAAACUUGGUUAAAAUGAUCAUCAGGAAUAGAGGAGGUGUGUGCUGGAAAGAGGGCUGGAAGAGGGUGUUAUUAUGGUGAUCUUGUAAAAAAAGUGGUUGGGGUGUGGGUUUGCUUUGAUGCAAGGGAAGGAGAGGAGAGAAAGUACUAAACUACCCCAAUUGGCUUUCGUAAUGAAUGCUGUGAAUGAGAACUCCCCCCCCCCUUUUUUUUCUGGGUCCCCAGACAGCUCUGGCUCUCUGUCCUCAAAGCAGUGAGAACCCAUAAAGUAGAGGGUGGGGCAAGACAGAGCUCUGCCCUUGGAGGAUCUUGUCAAGCACCACUUAGGCGGGGCCUUCUCUUCUUCCUCCUCAGUGUUAGCGGUGAUGAGGUGCAGUGGGAUGUGCACUGGAAGCCUAGCUCGUUUCCCAUCUAUUGUCACUGUUGUGUUUGAGCAAGUCUGUCCCCCUCUCUGAGCCUUGCUCUUCUCCCUUUUGCAGGAGGCAUAUAAGUCAUGUGUGCAUUAAAGAAGAAUACUUUGUAAAUCUUAAAAUGCCAUAUCAUGUUGUAUCUUAGAAUUCUCCCCAGGGCUGAAUGUGAAGCACAGGCAGAUUCCUUGUGCUUUGGGGUCUGGGGUAGCUCACAGACUGUGUGAAAAAUAAUACAGUUUUCAGUUUGGGGUGAUGAAGAGGUUCUGGACAUGGAUGGUGGUGAUGGUUAUACAGCAAUGUAAAUGUACUUAAUGGCACUGAACUGUAUGUACACUUAAAAAUAAUAGUUAAAAUGCUAAAUUUUAUGUUAUGUAUAUUUUACCACACACACAAAAAAACCACAAGCACCUCCCCCACAAGAAAUGCAGAUGACGUUCAAGCAAAUUUGACAUUCGGGUGUUAGUACAGGACAAUUAUUGCACUUUGUGGUGAAUGCUCAUAUUUACGGUCAGUGUGAGGAAUUAGCCCUGUUUACCAGGACUCCAUUAACACAGUGGAUUAUUGUUAUUACUUUUGGAUGGCUUUAGAAAUUCCCUUGGGAGUGGAUAAAUUAGAUCACAAUAAUUGGAAUUUAGAUGAACUGUAAACUGUACUUAAUAACAUGUGAUCUGAGGUCACCUUUCUGGCUCUGACUCUGCCCCAAGGUUAUGUCCAAUCCUCAGCACUAUUCUUUCCUCUUUCUUCUUUCCUUUGGUACCCUAUUUACUUUUCAUCCCAAGAUGUCAGGGUGCAAAUGGAUUUACAUCUACAGCACAGAAACAUGGGAGUCCCAUGUGGCUUCAGGCACUUGACCAAAAGUGUCUCAUGCUAUCACAGACCCCAGUCCUUUGGCCCAGACUUUGCUCCCAGAAGCCAGAGCUAUUUGCACACCUCCCAGAGCAUUUCAUUCUGCAGGCCUAUGGGCUUCCACAUCAAAGCCUUAUAGGAUUACCUUCCAAUUUUCUCCUCUCCUAGCUCUGAGCUGCUUCUGAAGAUCAGAACCACAGGCAUAAAUAUUGUCUGAUAGCCUCUCAGUUUCGGAGGAGUCUCCCAUAGCCUAUGGGAGGCCUAAAGAAUAACUCAGAAAGUGGCUGAAAGAUGGACAUGUUUUGGAUUGAGAAGUUGUUUCAUUUUAGCACAAAAUAAAAUGUUUACAUUUUCAUGUUCAAAUAUUGAAACCUGUAUGGUGCCUCCUCUAAGUCAUCUCCGAAAAUGACACAACACUGUUUAAUGUAGAAUGCCCGUGGUGCCAGAUGAUUUUGAGUCAUGCACAGAGCCAGGCACAGCUCUCAGAUGCAACAGCUACAUGUGCUUCUGCCUUCAAGGCAGGCAGCCACUUUCCUGAGAGGGGGCUGGGGAUAGGGAAAAUCAGUGCCUUCCUUGUGGGCUUCUUCUUGUUGAAUUUUGCUCCACAGGUUGGAGGACAAGUUCCUGUCCUCCUAACUAGGCCUUAAAAGUCUGGGUGGAGUGGACUCUCGCUGGAACCUGUGGAGAUUAUAAAACAAGAAGCUCACUGCCUUGCGUGGCAGGAGUAAGAGCCAGUGUGAAGUGUAGGAGUUGGAAGGAAGUUGGAAAUCAGCCCCUUGUGGCCCUUCACUUUGAGAUUCACAAAGAAAAAAGGGAUGUCUCCUCUCUGAAAGCAAAAUGGAACUUCCUUCCUGCACCUGAAGACCUUCCUCACUACAGGUUAUUCCAAAGGAGAAGAAGCUUGACUUCCAAAUACCAUCACUGGAAAUAAGGGUGUCUGAAGGAGACAGGGAUGACUGAGUGUAUCUCAUGUGUGGGAUGAAUCUGCUGUAUUAAGCAGUUCUUCAUGAGUGAGAAGGGGUAACCUCCUUCUAGCACUCCACAUCUCUACUUCCUGCUGCUGCUCUGUCCGAAACCAUAGUAUCCUCACCAGGACCAUACAGGGAACAAAUGCAAGCCACCCAUAGUCCCCUUAGCUCUGUUCAAGACAUGGCACAGAAAAAGAUGAUGUUCAAAGAUGAGAGGGACAAAAAUAAAUAAAUAAAUAUAUAAAAAUUAAAAAAGAGCUCUGUGUUUUCCUGGCAUGUUGGUAUGAGUCCCUGAAAAUGGAUAUUGGCCGGAAGGUUACAUGUGUACAUCAGUUCUGGCUCCAGAAGGCAUUCUUGGCAAACCUCUUCAGAGUGAGGACAUGAACAGGCAAUGGAAGCAUCCAUGAAGACAAGUGGCUCCUGCAGGACUGCUGAUGGGUGGUUGAUCACUUACACAGAGGAGAAGAAACCGUGAAUUCCAUGAUAGUGACACUUGAACCAUCUUUUGUUUCCAGAUGCAUUAAAAAUAGAAGGGAACCACCAUGCAUGGAAUAUAUGAAGUCUUGUUGAGAAGAGUGGUAAAGUAUUUGUUUUGACAAAUCACCUUGCAAGUGAUAUAAAAGCAGUAUAGAGAAAAAUGUCCUCAUCUGAUGCUGCAUUAGAGUGUGCAUUCUAUAGCCUGAAUCUGUUCAUGACAUUAAAAUAGAUUUCUUUGUUCGUGUUCCUUAUAGGUGUUUACAAGCUGAAUGCACUCCAGAAAAUGGAUAGAAAAGAAAAAUAGUUUGUAAAACACAUAACAGGCUCUAGAAUUGGAGCUGCAUAAGAAGUAAAAAGAAACAAUAUAGAAGUAGAAUAAAUGUAUAAAUAUUGCAACAGGACAUGGAACUAUUUUAGGAUCUUUACUCAGGGUUUAAAAACAUUGGAUAAGUCUACAAAAGCCUCUGCGAGUCUGUAGAAAAAACUAGAUAAUGUAGAGUAGUGAUGUCCUUCUGGCAGUUUAAAACAAAAUACCUAAGUUAUUCAUGAAAAUAAGGAUCUUAAAGGACUAUAAAGUAUGGUUUUAGAGCUCAGAAAGAUUACCCAGUUCUGGGAACCCUAACCUCUAUUCUAGACAGUGGUAGAGUUCUGAGUAUAUCCUGAGAAGAUGCAGAGACAAUUUCAGAGGAUUUCUGGCUGAAGAAAGCAUACUGAUGACUGUCCUGAAGUCAGAAGUGACCACUCGGGCUGGGAAGCCCUUUACCGAGGACUUCACAUAUUUCACCUCUAGGAUUGCUCUGAGCUAACCUUCAAGCUCUGUGCUCCUCCUUCUGAGUUUAUCCCUAUGUAGUCUUGCUCUUGGGCUACCUGACUGAUUUUUAAUGCCUGCAGAUUUGCUUCCAUCUUUGCAUGACCAAGCCUUGGCCAAGCCACUGUUUCUGUUGACACAGUAGCAUUAUCUACCUCUGCUGGGGAUGGUCAUAGCUUUCAGAGCUGACACACAGUCUAGCUUGAACCCAGUCUCUUCUUUGGUCAUUGUGGUAGCAAAAAGCACCAUCUCUUGGAUUCACUGCAGAACUCACACACUUAAAUGUACAAAGUCAGUUUCUAUGGAUGGGUAUUGCUGCAUCCAGAUUGGACAGCGACCUUGGCUGAGACAUCCUUUACCUCUGUUUUCAGAUAAACUCAGCUGGCAUUUAAAAUCUCAGUGCACUUCCUCCACCUUGUCCAGAGGAAAGUAAAAUGAACGACUUUAUCAAGAAAUGGAGAAGAACUACAUGGUUGGUCAUUGCUGCUCUGCGAAUAUUGGAUCUGGAACUCAAAGGUGGCAGUCAGUAUAAAUGCAGAUGGCACUGCUGCUCCGUUUGCCUGACAUACAUUUAAAAUGUACAGCAUAUUUCGGCUUUCAAUGCUGGGAUGGUAUUUCAACUAUAGAUUCAAAACAUGUUCAGGUGUUUGAUUCUAACAUAGAGCCAGGGAUUCUGUUAUGAAAUGCAUCCUGCUGCGUGGGGAAAGGACCCAGUCUUCUAUGUCUCUUGCUUCAAAUACUUCUAUCUUCCAGAGGCUGGAGAAAGAUGUGGGUCUGCAUCUUGAAAUAUGUGCCUUGAACAAGAAUUGAUAACCUGUAGAAAACUUGUAUUACUUUGAAUAAAUUCUCAGUUUGCAGAAGCCUAUGGAAAUAGCAGAAGAAAGCAUGAGAAGAAGCAGUAACUUUAGCAGUCAUAAACUAAGGGGAUAACCUGAAAAAUAAAGUUGUAUGUGCACCAAACUGUAUUUAGUUUGGUUUUCCCCCCCCAUCCUUUUCCUCUUUUAUAUUUCUCUUCUACAAUUAAGUGCUCUUUCGUGAUCUACUUAAUAUUGUGAAAGAUGCCAAGUCCAGAAAUUAGGAUGGCUUUUCUUGAGUAAUAAACAUGCAGCAUGGUGUGGUAGAAAAAGCUUGGUCUCCACUUCUGUCCUUGCUGCUAACCCUGGGUAACCUUGGCCUUGUCAUGAUACCUCUCUGAGCCUGCCUCUCUCUCUCUCUCUCUCUCUCAAAAUAUUUCCAAGGGUGUUUUUAUUUUUAUUUACUUUUAUUUUUUUAUAUAACUUAUUAUCAAAUUGGUUUCCAUACAACAUCCAGUGCUCAUCCCAACAGGAGCCCUCCUCAAUGCCCAUCACCCACUUUCCCCCUUCCCCCACCCCUCAUCAACCCUCAGUUUGUUUUCAGUAUUUAAGAAUCUCUAAUGGUUUGCCUCCUUCCCUCUCGGUAACUUUUUGUUCCCCCUUCCCCUCCCCCAUGGUCUUCUGUUAAGUUUCUCAGGAUCCACAUAUGAGUGAAAACAUAUGGCUUCUGUCUUUCUCUGCCUGACUUAUUUCACUUAACAUAAUACUCUCCAGUUCCAUCCACGCUGCUACAAAUGGCCAGAUUUCAUUCUUUCUCAUUGCCAAGUAGUAUUCCAUUGUAUAUAUAAACCACAUCUUCUUUAUCCAUUUGUCGGUUGAUGGACAUUUAGUGAGCCUCUCUUUUUAUAUCUAUAAAAUAAAGGAGCUCUCUGGAGUACUAUUCUGGUUCUAAAAUCUACCAGUUCUGUACUGUUGAUGGUUUCUUCUGUUUAAAAGUUUCUGGGUUUCUCAUAAACUGUCAUAAGGGCCAGAGUUCAGGAGGAAUGGAAACUUGUGACUCCAUUUGUGACAAUGUUCAGCACUUUUAGAUGUAAAUGUAGUGUAAUUAAUUUGUCAUCAUCACUUGAAUAUAUUAUACUUUAAAAAUACUGUAUUCUAAAAUAUAAUGUUUGGAAAAACAAAUCUGUAGUGGAAAAUAAAUAAUUGUUACUGCUUGUCUCAAACCAUGUAGGGCCCCUUAAUCAUCACCUACUGUGGUUCUCAGCCCUGACUGUACAUUAGCAUCACCCAGAGAACUUUUAAAUAUAAUGGUGCCUGCCCUCCCAUCUCAGAAGUUCUGAUCUAAUUGGUCUUGAGUAGGGCUUUAUACCAGUAUUUUAAGGUCAAGUUAAGAAUCAGUGGCCUGCAAAAUAACUGCAAUUUCUGAGGUCUAAGGUCUCCCAGGCAUGGCUCAUACCUACUUGGGCUCCAUGCUGACUGACCACCUGUGGUCCUCUCCAGUGUGCCAUCAUGUUCACAGUGUUGUUUCACAUAUACACAAGUUUGCACCUGCUGUUAUAGCCUGGAAUGCUAUCACACCAUGAGUGAUGCAGGUUUCCUUAUUAACAUAGUUCCUGUAAUACUUUGUAAUGGCCUGCUUUGUAGUCAUUUUCCUAUUAUAAAUAUUUUAUCCAUAAUUGUGUGUAUUUGUGUUAUAGAUCUGAUCAUCUCUGUCUCUCACGUUUAAAACUCCCUAGUGCCUUCCCAUUGUCUAGAAAUAGCAUCCACACCUUUUACUUGCCUAUAAUGCCCUAUGUAAUCUGCACCUACCUCGUCCUCAGACCUCUUUUCUGAACCACUACCCACUUGUUCACUUCACUCUGGCCUUACCAAUCUUGUUCUCAUCUCAGGGCCUUUAUACCUAGUGUUCCUUCUACCUGGGGCAUUUUCUCUCAUCCUCUCAUUUGCCUCCUUCCCAACAUUCAGACUUUAGCUCAAAUGUCACUUUCUUAAAGUGGCCUUUCCUGACCACCGUAGCAAAAGUAGCACAUCCCCCACCCCACCCAUCAUGCUCUAUCCUACUGUUUUUAUUUUCUUUUAGGACUUAUGCUAUCUGAAAUAAUAGUUUUAUUUUGUACACAUGAUUAUUGAAAGCCUCCCAUUACUGGAAUAUAAGUUCUAUGAAGAUAGGAACUUUGUCUAGUAGGGGCUCAAUAAAUACUGAAUGGAUGAA